rnacentral:tRNA from 2 species
AAUUUUAAUAGCUUAAAUAAAGCUUAAUAUUGAAGAUAUUACGAUAGAUUAAAAUCUUUAAAAUAU